rnacentral:misc_RNA from 1 species
GAGGACUGAUCCUGGCUGGAAGUAUUGUGUUGAACUUUCUCCAAUCAGGUCGCAGGAUAGCAAAACUUAUAAAUAUAUUGAAUGCAACUUUUGUAAGAAGAGGAUCACUGGCGGAAUUAAAAGGCUAAAGCAGCACAUUGCAAAGACUCAUAAGAAUGUUGCAGGUUGUCCACGAGUUUCCAUUGAGGUUCAAGAAGAAAUGAAGUCGUUUAUGUUGAAAAAGACCGAGGGUAAAAGAACAGCAUUCGAAGAAAUGGAUGAAGUGCUGUCUAGUUCAAAAAACAAGUUCAUGGACCCAUUGAUUUUUUUUAUACAAUACGCAAAUAUUGGUAGCGAGAGUGCUGAAUAUUUCACAGUUUAUCAAACGCACCAAGUUACCUUGAAUGAGAGUUGGAAGAAAAACGAAAGAGUAAGGAUUUGCAAUUCUAUUGGACGGCUCUUCUAUGAGAAUUCAAUGUAGCAACAAGCCCUUCAUAUUGGGCCAUGAUGAAGGAUGUAUGUGGAUUUGGAAGGGGAUUUAAACCCCCAACUAUGUAUGAGUUGCAAACAUGGAUUCUAAAAGAAGAGAAAAAUGCUAUUUCUUCCAUUGUCAAUGAAGCAAUCCACCUUCAUGGAUUGAAACCGGUUGUAGUAUUGUAUCUGACGGUUGGACUAACACAAAUGGGCGUACAUUGAUAAAUUUUUUAGUUAAUAACCCGAAAGGUACUUACUUUUUAAAGUCUAUUGAUGCAUCUGAUCAAGUAAAAGGUGCAAAAUUGCUUUUUAAAUUAAUUGAUGAAGUUGUUGAGGAAGUUGGAGAAAAGAAUAUUAUCCGAGUGAAAACAGACAAUGCCUCGGCUUAUAAAGCAGCGGGGCCAAUGUUGGUGGAGAAAAAGAAAAAUUUGUAUUGUACGCCUUGUGCUACACACUGCAUUGACUUAAUGUUAGAGGACAUUUUCAAGUUACCUUUUCCAUACUUCUGUGUUCACCAAGGCCAAGAAAAUAAUAAAUUUUAUAUAUCAAUGGGUGCUAUCAAUGGUAAGAAAAUUUACCGGUGGAGAUUUGGUGAAACCUGCUGUUAAUCGAUUUGCCACUGCAUUUCUUACUUUGCAAAGCUUGUUUGGAGCAAGGGAUGGACUUGAAUCCUUUUUUACUUCAAGAAAGUGUAAAAGUGCUUAUGCAUCUUGAUCAUUGGGGGAAAUUGUGCGCAACAAUUCUAAAAAGACAGUUAUUAGCCUGGUGUUACUUAGUGCUCAACACAACAAAGUCCUUAGUUAUAGUUCUUAAAAUGGUGGAUUCCGAGAAGUAUCCACCAAUGGGAUUUAUUUACGUAGCUAUGGAUAGGGCUAAAGAAAAAAUUGUUCUAAUAAUGUCUAAUCUAAAUAAUGAUGUUACAAAGUAUCAGAUUGUUUGGGAUGUUGUGGGCAGUCGGUGGGAUCGUCAGCUUUACACGCAUUUGCACGCUGCUGCAUAUUUUCUAAAUCCUUAUUUCCAAUAUGAACCUUCAUUCUCUUCUCAUCAUGAGAUUAAAUUGGGACUUUAUCCUUGCACGGAGCGAUUGAUUGGUGAUUCAGGAGAAAGAGAGAAAGUAGAUUUGCAGAUCAAUUCUUUUUGAUAUGCACGAGGUUUAUUUGGACGGGUAAAUGCAGUAAGCACGAGGAAGAAGAGAAGUCCAGCGGAUCGGUGAAGAGCUUUUGGAGAUCAAACGCCUAAACUUGCAAAAUUUGCAAUUUGAAUCUUGAGCUUGACUUGUAGUGCUUCUGGAUGUGAACGGAAUUGGAGCUCCUUAAAUCAAGUGAAUACAAAGAGAAGAAAUCGCUUGAAGCAAGCGAAACUCAAUGAUUUAGUUUACAUUAUGUUCAAUUUGAAACUAAAACACAGGGAGUUAAAGAAGAAAACAAUUAAAGAUCCCCUUUGUUUGGAUGAUGUAGACUCUGGCAAUGAAUGGAUCUCAGAGCUCCAAAAUCCUGAGGUAGAGGUCUAUGAAAAUCUUGAUGCAAAUAUAGCUCUUGAUGACUCUUUUGAAGUCAAAGAAGGUGAAUUAUUUCAACAUACAAAGAAGAGAAAGAAGAAAAACAAAAGGUAUAGGAAAAAUCCAAAUGAUGACGAUGAGGAGGAUUUUCCACAUGCCAUGAAGGAAAGCGAAGAAGAAGAGGCUAAAUUGAAUUUCAUGGACAAUUCUCUCGAGGAUCCUAAUAGUAGCACUAGUUCUAGUGACAAUAGCGAUGAUUGAUGGGUUAAGAUUUAUGAGAUUAGGCCAUAUUUAUUUCG